rnacentral:rRNA from 1 species
UACGAAGGGGGCUAGCGUUGCUCGGAAUCACUGGGCGUAAAGCGCACGUAGGCGGAUCUUUAAGUCAGGGGUGAAAUCCUGGAGCUCAACUCCAGAACUGCCUUUGAUACUGGGGAUCUCGAGUCCGGAAGAGGUGAGUGGAACUCGAGUGUAGAGGUGAAAUUCGUAGAUAUUCGCAAGAACACCAGUGGCGAAGGCGGCUCACUGGUCCGGUACUGACGCUGAGGUGCGAAAGCGUGGGGAGCAAACAGGG